AUCGCUUCUCGGCCUUUUGGCUAAAAUCAAGUGUAGUAUCUGUUCACGUCAGCUUAGUAUCUGACGCGUCCUCUAUUGGGGGGCAGUAUAUUAGGUGAAUUUGUAGAGUCGGGAACUGGACUAGGAGCUUGCUCCGUCCACUCCGCGCAUCGCCCUGGUAUUGCGGUGCUUCCAGGAGCGGUGCCCCCCGC
ensembl:snRNA U2 U2 spliceosomal RNA